GAAAGGGGGGGUGCAUAAGUGGCAGUGGGGAGGAGAGGCAGCUGGGCCCGGAAGCAGAGACUGGGGCAGAAGCUGGGGGAAAGAGGCUGCCAGUGAUGUCUUAUGGUUCUCAGUCUCAGAGGACAUCUACAAGACCUCCCCGCCAGCCCUCAGUUGUUCCGACUGCCACUCUGCUCUGAAUCUCUUCAGCCACAAUUCAUAAAUUAUCUCAUCUGGACAUGGCUGAUAAAGUCUUUCACAGACUGGGCUUGCAGUGUCUCAUAGCUCCUCAUGGCAGGUUCAAGAAUCACUAGGUGUUUCUAAGCCUCUCUUGUAUCGGAUUCACAGGUAAACCCACAUGUCAAGCUUUCCCAUGCAAAAAGAGUUUUUCCAUUUGUGACAGUGGCAAAUGUAAUACUGGUAGUUCUACCGCUAAUAAUCUAGAGUGUUGCCACUGCUUUUGGGUCUGCAGCAGCAGUGCUGCAAGUUCUAAUGGAGAUGUUAAAACUGUGAUCAUGUUAGCCAUUCAUACUAUGCAAUGUCUUUUAGUGGGUGAAUGGUGGGAUGUGAAUGGCUUUGCGUAGGCUAUGCCUAGUAGUUGAGAGGUAGUAUGAUACUUUUCCUGACACCCCUCUUCAGUCAACUGAAGAAAGAUUUUGGGGCUAAACUUUGCCUAGUCAUCAAAAUGGACUGUAGAUUCUGCAAGAUAAAAAGAGCAAUUGAAUCAUAGGUUCAUAACAUUGCUUAAUAGUAUUCUGAUUAGCAGGCUUCCCCAAGUGUCAAAUUUUGGAAAAAUCAAGCUAUCUUUUUGAGUGUCUCAUUUCUCACCAUUCUCAAGUCUGUAUCUCAGCCAGUGUUCCCAGAUGUUGACUACUGCUCCCAGCAUCUCCAGCUGCAGUGGCCUUUGGCUGGGGAUUAUGGGAGUUGUAGUUAACAGCAUCUGGGAAUCCCUGUUUCAGAGAGCACUGAUCUCAACUACAGGAUUUUAAAAACUGUAUUUGUUUGAACAUAGUGUAACUGUAGUAUUUUAAAUACUUUUCAGUAUUAAGUGAGCUCUGAGUUAAUUUCACAGCUCUGUGAGCAUUUGAAACAGGAUCUAUCUUUCAAGUUUGAUUUUUUUCUAUACUAACCAGCUCUAUACUUUGAAAAUGUCAUAAAAAAUUAGACAUGUGUCUACCAUUUUGGCAUUGAAGAGAAUAUUCCUGAAAAUGUUACUGGCUGACAUUGAGGAAAAUCACUCAAAAUAGUCCCAUUGAAAUUGGGUUAGUAAUGCCAAAUUUUCUUGGGACUAUUUUGAAUAAUUGUUCUGCAAUACUGUAUGUUAGCUGGUGGAUUUAAGGAAAGUAAUAAUUACUGUGUUAUGCUGUUCUAGGAAUUUUCAGUUUUCUUCUUUUAGGCAAUGGCCCCUUCUAGUAUUGUGAAAUGAAUCACAUUACGGUAUUAGAACACUGGCUUGUUAGGGAGCAGGAGACCAUGAAGUUCAGAAUCAUGGCUUAAAACUGUGAAGAUGUAGCAAACCACUCCUGGAAUAAACCAACCAGCAGCUGUCA